UUGUUUCUCCAAAUUGUCAUUAGGUAUGGUUUACAUGAGUGAAGAUAAAUACAUUGUGGCAGCAACGUAAGUUCGUAUACUUUGUUCUUCUGGCUGGAUUUUUUUGGAGGUGCAACUUGAUGGAUAUUGGCCCGCAAAAUUUGGCAUGGAUUCAACCAGAAAUGAACUGGCUUUGGUAUCAAUGGAGCAUCCAAGAUCCUCUGCAUCAAUUACAGGAGGCCCAACCCUGUUAAAUGGUUAUUCAACAGUUCAUACCUCCAAUUUUUUUUGUUGUGACACAGUGGCUUAUUAAUC